rnacentral:rRNA from 1 species
GGCAGGUUGAAGGUUGGGUAACACUAACUGGAGGACCGAACCGACUAAUGUUGAAAAAUUAGCGGAUGACCUGUGGCUGGGGGUGAAAGGCCAAUCAAACCGGGAGAUAGCUGGUUCUCCCCGAAAGCUAUUUAGGUAGCGCCUCGUGAAUUCAUCUCCGGGGGUAGAGCACUGUUUCGGCUAGGGGGCCAUCCCGGCUUACCAACCCGAUGCAAACUGCGAAUACCGGAGAAUGUUAUCACGGGAGACACACGGCGGGUGCUAACGUCCGUCGUGAAGAGGGAAACAACCCAGACCGCCAGCUAAGGUCCCAAAGUCAUGGUUAAG